rnacentral:tRNA from 1 species
CCUGUAGCUCAGUUGGAUAGAGCAUCGGCCUUCUAAGCCGAGGGUCAGGAGUUCGAAUCUCUUCAG